rnacentral:rRNA from 1 species
CCUACGGGAGGCAGCAGUGGGGAAUAUUGCACAAUGGGGGAAACCCUGAUGCAGCGACGCCGCGUGAGUGAAGAAGUAUUUCGGUAUGUAAAGCUCUAUCAGCAGGGAAGAAAUAGCGACCUUUGGGUCGUCAGACGGUACCUGCCUAAGAAGCCCCGGCUAACUACGUGCCAGCAGCCGCGGUAAUACGUAGGGGGCAAGCGUUAUCCGGAUUUACUGGGUGUAAAGGGGGCGUAGAGGGCAGCACAAGGCUGAAGUGAAAUGCCGGGGCUUAACCCCGGUACUGCUUUGGAAACUGUGCAGCUAGAGUGCGGGAGAGGUAAGUGGAAUGCCUAGUGUAGCGGUGAAAUGCGUAGAUAUUAGGAGGAACACCAGUGGCGAAGGCGGCUUACUGGACUGCAACUGACGUUGAGGCUCGAAAGCGUGGGGAGCAAACAGGAUUAGAUACACCUGUAGUC